CGCCCAUAUCCUAUACAGAGCAUGUGCGACAAAGCUUUAAACAACGCCCAGGUAUACUGCGCCCACCAUGAAGCAUCCUGAAAUGAACGGUUGAAUAUUCGAAGUUCAAUAAUAAAUUCAAGGAUGUCUAGGAUUACUUACUGUUUCUCACCAAAGAAAACUAUUGAUACAAAUACCUUUAUAAAUGGUCCAUACCAGCCACGCAGUGUCCUCAAACAAGAUAAUGGAGCUCCAGAAAUCUCCUCAUCCGGUCAUAUCGUACAGAAUUU